rnacentral:rRNA from 1 species
UACGUAGGUGGCAAGCGUUGUUCGGAUUCAUUGGGUUUAAAGGGUGCGUAGGCGGCUUUGUAAGUCAGUGGUGAAAUAUGGCAGCUUAACUGUCAAGGUGCCAUUGAUACUGCGGAGCUUGAGUACAGAUGAGGUAGGCGGAAUUGACGGUGUAGCGGUGAAGUGCGCAGAUAUCAGGAGGAACACCAAUGGCGAAGGCAGCUCACUGGGACGGUAUUGACGCUGAGACGCGAAAGCGUGGGGAGCGAACAGG